rnacentral:rRNA from 1 species
UACAGAGGGUGCAAGCGUUAAUCGGAAUCACUGGGCUUAAAGGGUGCGUAGGCGGCGGCGCAAGUUGGGUGUGAAAUCCCUCGGCUCAACCGAGGAACUGCGCUCAAAACUGCGUCGCUUGAGGAAGAUAGAGGUGAGUGGAACUUAGGGUGGAGCGGUGAAAUGCGUUGAUAUCCUAAGGAACACCAGUGGCGAAAGCGACUCACUGGGUCUUCUCUGACGCUGAGGCACGAAAGCUAGGGUAGCGAACGGG